rnacentral:rRNA from 1 species
UACGAAGGGGGCUAGCGUUGCUCGGAAUCACUGGGCUUAAAGGGCGCGUAGGCGGGCUGUCAAGUCUGGGUGAAAUCCCACGGCUCAACCGUGGAACUGCCUUAGAUACUGAUCGACUCGAAGGCAGGAGAGGGUAGUGGAAUUCCCGGUGUAGUGGUGAAAUGCGUAGAUAUCGGGAGGAACACCAGUGGCGAAGGCGACUACCUGGCCUGUUCUUGACGCUGAGGCGCGAAAGCUAGGGGAGCAACGGG